rnacentral:lncRNA from 1 species
UCUAACUCUGUAUCCUUUGCUUUCAAGUUCUUAGAUCUUCGUGGAGCUCUCGAGAAUCUAGCGUUCCUUUCCUCCUUCCCGGCAAGGUACCAAAGCUAUCUAUCACUCGCUCGCCUCUACCUUCGUCUCAUUUUGUUCCAGAUUCCCGGGGAUGUGAGCGCUGGAAAACACGAUAACACGGUGCUCGUGUUUGGCGACUACUGACCUGGUAAACACGAGCUCCUUUCUCCCCCCAACGCUCACUCACUGCUUCUUCCUCGAAUCGAUCACUUCGCGACCCAUUAGUUACUGCGAAAUCUGCGAGAACUUGCUCCACCUAACUAAGAGGGAGCAUGAGAGAAGAACAGCGGCGAGGGUAAAGAGAGAGAGAAGAC